UACAGAGGUGGCAAGCGUUGUUCGGAAUUACUGGGCGUAAAGGGCGCGUAGGCGGCCUGCUCAGUCGGACGUGAAAGCCCCAGGCUUAACCUGGGAACUGCGUCCGAUACUGGCAGGCUUGGAUUCGGGAGAGGGAUGUGGAAUUCCAGGUGUAGCGGUGAAAUGCGUGGAUAUCACUUGGAACGCCAAUGGUGAAGACAGCUCGCUGGGGGUGUCCUGAC
rnacentral:rRNA from 1 species